GGUCUAAUAGUGUAGUGGUUAGCACACGGGAUUUUGAUGGGUCCUCGCUAGGAAGAAACGUUAAUCUUCCCGUAACCCAGGUUCGAGUCCUGGUUAGACCU